CCUACGGGAGGCAGCAGUGGGGAAUUUUGGACAAUGGGCGCAAGCCUGAUCCAGCAAUGCCGCGUGAGUGAAGAAGGCCUUCGGGUUGUAAAGCUCUUUCAGUUGAGAAGAAAAAAUUGUGACUAAUAAUCACAAUUGAUGACGGUAUCAACAGAAGAAGCACCGGCUAACUACGUGCCAGCAGCCGCGGUAAU
rnacentral:rRNA from 1 species